rnacentral:rRNA from 1 species
UACGGAGGGUGCAAGCGUUGCUCGGAAUUACUGGGCGUAAAGAGCGUGUAGGCGGUUUCGUAUGUCUGGCGUGAAAGCCCCGGGCUCACCCCGGGAAGUGCGUUGGAAACUGCGAGACUAGAGUCCCGGAGAGGAAGGUGGAAUUCCAGGUGUAGCGGUGAAAUGCGUAGAUAUCUGGAAGAACACCGGUGGCGAAGGCGGCCUUCUGGACGGUGACUGACGCUGAGACGCGAAAGCGUGGGGAGCAAACAGGAUUAGAUACCCUGGUAGUCCACGCCGUAAACGAUGGGCACUAGGUGUCGCGGGUAUUGACCCCUGCGGUGCCACAGCUAACGCAUUAAGUGCCCCGCCUGGGGAAUACGGCCGCAAGGCUA